UCUAUUAACAUUCAUACCAUAGCUUCUUAAGGCAUUUGGAAACAUCUCUACUUGUGGACUAUUUUCACAGAAUGGUGUAACAGUUUUUUAGAAUACAGAGAUGCUAUUGGCCAUCCAAAUGCAGCAUAAAAGUGUUCAUCACAGAUAUUUAGACUCAUAACAAACUUUACAAUACACCACUAACUGUGUCCUUUUGUUUUAAUCCCUGGCACCCACGCACACUGUUGAACCCACAGGUGUUCCUGCUUAGGAUGCCUACCUGCUGCUCUCCUGGGAGGUAGUGAAAAAGAAGAGGGCAGGGGACAGGUGGGUUGUAUGGGGUGAUCAGCCAGAGGGGAAGUAGCUCUGGGUGCUCAUAGUUACAGUAGUAACCUUCUUACACCAGAGCUGAAGUAAGUGCUGUCUUUAUUUUGAGCUCUGGUUGGGGGAGAUCUGCUUGGGUUGUUUACAGUAAUGUGCUGUAUGUUGCUUACUCUGUUUGUGUCUAAUGGUUGUGUGUAAUAGUGCCUCAAAGGAGAGGUGCUUUGAGAUUAUUUCUUGUGUGAGCUGAGAUGUUGUGUGAGUGUUUGGAUUUUGUUCUUCAACUUGUUACCUUUCCCCAGAGUGACGGACAAAACAGUUACAUAAAAACUUCACCGGCUUCUGCGGGUCUGUAACUUUAAACCACUUGCUGUGCUUCUCCCUAAAGUCUACCAUGAGGUGAAAUAAGAAGGAAGAAUGGGUGUGACACUUCCGGCUCUGGUAGCAGGAGUGAGAAAAGGGGUGGGAUGUGGCUUUACUUUCUAUGACAGAUCAUUUGCCAAUCCUCUGCAGGAGCAGUUCUUUUAGCGGGAUGGAAGAAAAGAAUCCCACGUGCACUUUUUGAUGGAUCUGCCCUUCUCUGCUGCAGCCUUCUGUAAAAGGAUCACGGAUAGAUGACAGCAAAUCCUUCAGAACUGCUCAGGAGCACAAGUCAGACUUGCAGGCAGGUGCCUUGCAGCCACUGACCAUCCGCAGUGCGACCGCUGCUGAGUGCAGGGGGCUGCAGCCCAGACUUCACACGGGAGGUGGCACAGCGUUGUUUCCGUCACAGCACGCAGAAGCCGAGCGCUUUAUCACUAAAUUUUAGGGGAAGUUGAUGGAGGUUACUCGCUUACAGAUGAGUCAGGGGAACUCCUGCAGUGCACGGUGGGGAUUCCUGCUGCAAAGAGCUCUCACGGCAUACAUUUUGUGUUUUGAUAUUUUGUUUAUUGUUAUUGUCGACUGUAGGAUGUAACGGUGAGGAGCUGCUUAAUCAGAACUAACGAGCACGAGUGAUGUCAUAGAGUUCUUACGUACUCUCCGUUAAAAUAAGCGUUUCACCGGAAAUUACCACGGAUAAAAUGAGUUACAGCCCAUCCCGCGGAAAGAACCAGCCGAGGAGAUAACACCCAGCGCUUUUGCCCCGGGCAGCCGCAGCCCGGAGCUGCGUCUCUGCCGGCGGCCGAGCCCCGCAC
rnacentral:lncRNA from 1 species